AUUGAACGCUGGCGGCAGGCCUAACACAUGCAAGUCGAGCGGCAGCGGGAAAGUAGCUUGCUACUUUUGCCGGCGAGCGGCGGACGGGUGAGUAAUGCCUGGGGAUCUGCCCAGUCGAGGGGGAUAACUACUGGAAACGGUAGCUAAUACCGCAUACGCCCUACGGGGGAAAGCAGGGGACCUUCGGGCCUUGCGCGAUUGGAUGAACCCAGGUGGGAUUAGCUAGUUGGUGAGGUAAUGGCUCACCAAGGCGACGAUCCCUAGCUGGUCUGAGAGGAUGACCAGCCAGACUGGAACUGAGACACGGUCCAGACUCCUACGGGAGGCAGCAGUGGGGAAUAUUGCACAAUGGGGGAAACCCUGAUGCAGCCAUGCCGCGUGUGUGAAGAAGGCCUUCGGGUUGUAAAGCACUUUCAGCGAGGAGGAAAGGUUGGUAGCUAAUAACUGCCAGCUGUGACGUUACUCGCAGAAGAAGCACCGGCUAACUCCGUGCCAGCCGCCGCCGCAGUAA
rnacentral:rRNA from 1 species